GUGCAGCAGUCGAGAAACCUCCGCAAUACACGAAAGUGUGACGGGGCCAUCCCGAGUGCCGUCCGCUGAGGACGGCUUUUCCCCAGUGUACACAGCUGGGGGAAUAAGGAGAGGCAAGCCUGGUGUCAGCCGCCGCGGUAAUACCAGCUCUCCGAGUGGUGGGGACGCUUAUUGGGCCUAAAGCAUCCGUAGCCGGCUGGGCAAGUCCUCCGUUAAAUCCAACGAUUCAAUCGUUGGGCUGCGGGGGAUACUGUCCAGCUUGGGGGCGGGAGAGGCCGACGGUAUUCCCGGGGUAGGGUGAAAUCCUAUAGUCCCGGGAGGACCACCAGUGGCGAAGGCUGUCGGCUAGAACGCGCCCGACGGUGAGGGGAUGAAAGCUGGGGGGAGCGAACCGGAUUAGAUACCCCUGUAGU
rnacentral:rRNA from 1 species